AAGUCCAUGAUGUGGACAUUUCUGAAACAAAUCUCAAAACCUUUCCCAUGCUUCAUAUAAUGGCUCACCAUCAAAUUGACUGAAACUAGUAAUAUCCAUUCUAAAUUU